GCCAGAGGAUUUUGUGAGUACUGCGUGGCCUCCACCUUGUUUCAUCUACCAGCGGCUGUCUUUCCAGUUACCCAGCCUUCAGCGCCUCUGCAGCCAGCAGCCUAGCUGCUGUCGUCUGGGUCUGUGAGGCAGGGUGUUAAGACAAGGAGAGUGGCCUUCUGAGAUUGAUUUCCGUGGCUGAGGGUGUGAGGGAGAGCGAGAGGGCAAAUUGAUCGUGUCAUUGGCUGGAUGGAUUAUCUCUCUGACCACCAAAGAAGGUCUUUGAUUCUCUUUAUUGGAUGAUGAAUUGUCCUUGAAGACAAGAUCGCAUAGUCCAGGAACCAUCAGCGAUCUCAUCAUCCUCUUGGACUACACUGGCUUUCAGCGAUCUGUUUUUGAUCAAAAACAUGGAUGAAAAUAUUUCUGUAAGCCUGUAUGAUCAUUUCUGUUGCAGGACAACAUGGUUGUAUAUGUUAGAGGUCCAAACUAUGACCCAGGGGCCAUGUGUAGACACUUGAAUUUGAGUGGCUCCUGAGCUAUUUCAAAACCAUAUUUGACCUGCUAUCACCAUAUGGGAAUAUUGGUCAUAGGAAGGUCUCUGUGCUAGAUUUGAUGAGUUUUUACAUCGUUAGUUCACCAUUCACCAGAAAUGUUCAGUGAACACACACUUUUAGGCAUGUUCAUGCAGAACACUUCAUCUGAACGUGUUGGAAAAAAAGCUUGCAAGGAAAAGAUGACCUUGUGUCACAAAUGUAUGCAUACAUGAAACAAUUUGUUGUCAAGUUUUGACUUUUUAAGCAACAAUGUACUGAAAUGAUCUGUUACCCAAACAUGAACAUUUAUGUAAAGAUGGGGAAAUCAGUGAUCACAGGGUUUAACCAGCGACUUCAAGAUUUCACCACCAUGGCAGGACAUGAACCUGAGGUUUCAACCCUUUCCCUGUUGUGGAAGGAGUAACGGAGUCUGUGCAGUUGGAGCAUAUUAAAAUGUAAUGUGUUGGUGCCUUAUAAAGUCUUCACCAGCAGCUCCAAUUGUUGGAGUUCUACAGGGUUCUGGAAAACUCCAGAUUUCCUUGGAUGAGGCACCAUGCUGAAAUAUUCAAUCUUACGACAUUGAUUGUGAGGAUCCAGGAUGAUUGGCAGCCUCCUCACAAUGUACUCUAAACCUCCACUAUGAGAUUUAUUGAGCGGAUGGCAAUUCUUCAGUCCAAGGCAUUAUCCUAAUUAGGAGUGACAAUUUCUGUCACAUGAAAUGUAAAAGGGUUAAAAACCAUCUUGCUACAGAUUCAGAUGUACAGCUCAAGGUGCUCAAGGCUUGCUCAUUAAGAUAUUCUUAUAAAUGUAAAGGCUCAUGGAUUCAGACUAUAUACUUCUUCUCUAUGGGCAGAGGUACAGGUGUCAUAUACACAGGUGGGGAGAUGGUAACCCCUGUGUCCACCUUUGUCUGGUUGUCCACUGGUUGAUGACCUUUGACCUCUUCCCAGUAGAUGAUGUUGGUGGUGUUCAAAGACUGAUUAUAUUAUUCAUGGUGUUCAUUCCUAUAUUCUUGUCCAGGACUGUUGUUGGUUCACUGACAUAGUGUCGUCCAACAUUUGUAUUAUAAAAUAUACACUUCAUGCAAUAUA